AGCCACAUGGAAGAUGGCAGAGCAAGAGGAUAGAAGGAGCUUGACUUCCUAAUGAUGAUGGAAUUUCCUGUGAUUUUUCAGCUGAGUCUAAUGCUAAUUAAAGCAACUAAAAGUUUGUCGAGAAGACUGAAAACCAUUUUGCUAAGUAGGAGUUCAUUAUAUUUAAUUAAAAAUAGGUGCUUGAAGUUACUUUUCACCAUGUCCAUCGAGACACUCACUUCUGCAUUAUGGGUAAGUGAAAAUGAUGUUUCCUUCUUUCUACAUAAAAAUAAAUGAAUGCUUAAAGACUUUUGUAGCAAUUUUUAUGUUUUAUUAUUUUUGAGGUAUCAUUGACAUAUAACAUAUGAGUUUCAGGCGUACAACAUAAUGAUUUGUUAUUUGUAUGUAGUGCAAAAUGAUCACCAUAGUAAUUCUGGCUACCAUCUGUCACCACACAUAACAAAACUUUUUUCUUGUGAUGAGAACUUUCAAGAUUUACUCUCUCGGCGACUUUCAAAUAUGCACUACAGUAUUAUUAACUGUAAUCACCAUGCUGUAUAUUACAUCCUCAUGACUUACUAUUUUACAACUGGAAGUUUGUACCUUUUGACCUUCUUUAUCCAUUUUUCCCCCCAACUCCCCAUUCUGGCAACCACCAAUCCGUGUUCUAUAUCCAUGAGCUCACAGCAUGUUUUUGUUUUUGUUUCUGAUUUGUUUUAGAAUCUACCUAUAAGGGAAAUCACAUAGCGUUUGUCUUUCUCUGACUUACUUCACUUAGCAUAAUGCCCUCAAAUCCAUCUAUGUUGUUACAAAUGGCAAGGUUUCCUUUUUUAUGACUGGAUAAUAUUUCCAGUGUGUGUGUGUGUGUGUGUGUGUGUGUGUGUGUGCAUGUAUGUGUGCGUGCACGUGUCUGUGUGUACCACAUUUUCUUAUCCAUUCAUCCAUCAGUGGAUACACUUAGGUUGUUUCCAUAUCUUGGCUAUUGUAAAUAAUGCUGUAGUGAACAUGGAGGUGCAGGUAUCUUUGGGGGAGAGUAUUUUUGUUUUCUUUGGAUAAUACCCAGAAAUGGAAUUGCUGGAUCAUAUGGUAGUUCUAUUUUAAAUUUUUGGAGGGCCCUUUACACUGUUUUCCACCAUGGCAGCCCUAGUUUACAUUCUCACCAACAGUGCACAAGAGUUCCCUUUUCUCCACAUCCUUGCCAACACUUGGUAUAUUGCUUGUCUUUCUGAUAAUUCUGACAAGUGUGAGGCGAUUACUUUGUGGUUUGGACUUGCAUUUCCCUGAUGAUUAAUAUUGAGGACCUUUUCAUGUAUCUGUUGAUCAUUUGUAUACCUUAGCUGGAAAAUAUCUAUUCAGAUCCUUUGCCCAUUUUUUAAUUGGAUUGUUUGGGGGUUCUUUACUGUUGAGUUGUAGGAGUUCUUUAUGUUCUUUAUAUAUUUUUGAUAUUAACCCUUUCUCAGAUAUGUGAUUUGCAAAUAUUUUCCCAGUUUUCCCUGUUAUAAGCUCCAGGGGUACCUUAUAGUUUUUUCAUACUAUUUCUCAUGUUUAGAAUUAUUUGCUAAGUAUCUGUCUUUGCUGUUGACAAAAGCAGUGAAAGCAGGCAUUUCUGUCUUGUCACUGCUGCUUCCUCAAUAUCUGGUCUAGCUCCUAACACUUAAUGGAACUUAAUAAAUAUUCAUGGAAUGAACGAGCUUUUGUUAUCACGCUAUCUGGACAGAAUGUUUUUCACUUAAGAAAAAUGUAUGAACCCCCACAAUCUCCAUGUUGAGCAGAAUCAAAAUAAAAUGUUUUAGAGUUGCAUUAGCAAUUGAGAAAGAUUGGUCUUCUAUCUGGACCGGUGGGAAGAUUUCCAGGUACAUCCUUGAAAAGGGACUCAGGACAGAAAAUGACCGGCAGUCAGGCAGAGAGGAGGCCGGGCUCUGUGGUCAGUCAAGUCACAAACAAGUAAGGAGCAGAGGUAGUGUUCCUCUGCGUGCACUCCCUCCACCCUCUGACCCCCUGCCUCACCCCGGCCUUGCCUCAGGGUUGCCGCUGCAGGGCCACACUGGAACAUCAAACAGGGGAUUUUGUUUGCUGACUUGGCUUCAUAACAGGGCCUCUCCCUGACCUUUUCCUUGCGUGUAAUAAAGGGGAAGGACGCAUUUAAAGUGGAAUUGCACAAGUUUCCCGUAUGUAUUAUUACGCUUUCAAAGGAACACCUCAGCUGAGCACCGCUGCCUGGAAUAGAUUGAGGGCAUCUGCCCCAGCCGCACCCUUGGCACUUUUGCCCCAGUGCCUCAGCCUUUCCUAUGGGAGUGAGAGCUGGCCCAGCCCAGCCCCCGGGAGCCCCUGCCACAGCAAGAGAUGUGCUGGUACUGGACUCUGUGUUGCCAGGUGCCUGGAAGGAUCCAGAGACCCCUCAGGUUUGACAGCCAGUGGUGAGCUGUUUUUAGGAUGUGUAGAGAAUGAAGGAAGAAGGACCCAGCCACACAGCUGGGCUUCGUGGCCCCACAGGACACCAUUCAGGAUAGUAGAGCCCCUCAAGUAUCUCAACACCCAUUUCCAGAGUCGUUCUCUGGAAUUAUCAGACGGGAGUUUCUCCGCUGUUAUGUUGACUCAGCUUUUCUCUAUCUCCACUUGCACCACCUCUGUCCCUGCUGACUAAUUGUCUGUACCACCCUUUUCUCUUCAUCAGGCUUCUGCUGCCUUUACCCUGUGGCCCCUCUUUAGCACCAUCCUACUAUCACUUUCCCUGUCCAGACCUCACAGACUCCCCAACGGUGGUGUCUGAUGCGUUCAGCCUGUCGCCGUGACCAAGUUCUCACGUCAGACCUCAGCCAUUGGCCAGCCAUUGGGAAGUUGCCGUCAGGUUAGAGGCCAAUUCCCAGCUCAACCCAUUGUAACUGAAGCCACACAUGCAGAGUGACAUGGUAGAAACCAUUCACCCACUGGACAUGGGCACCUUGCAUAUGACAGGGCUCCGUGCUGGCACGGAGAACACAGCAGUGAAACAAAACAACACAAGCUUCAGGCUUCGUGAACCGUGCUUUCAAUUGGAGGUUAGGAGGACUGACCAGAGACGAACUAGAAAGGGAAUCAUAGGAUAGACAUGGGUUGAUGUGACGGACAGGAACAGAGCAGAAGUGCAUAGGGAGUGCUGGAACAAUAUCGGAGUGGCUGUCCAUUUCAAACAAGGCGCCAGAGCAGGUCCAUAAGAGAGAGUGAGGUGUGUGUCAUUAAGGACACAGAGAAGGUGAGAAGGCCACGAAGGAAGUCUCACAGGGCUCUCGCGUGGUAAGAAUGAUGAGGUUGCUGGAGACAGGGUCAUGUCACUUGGUAUUGGCUUUGUCAGCACUGAGAAUCACAGGGAGUCCUGCCCUCUGUGUCUCGGAGAGGAGAGGAAGAUGCCUCCAUAAGGUACGUAGUGCAGCAUCUGAUGCUCCAAAAAGUCCAAGAAGGACCGGACCCCGAAGGGCAUUUACAGAGGGAACCAGAGGACAGGCACCGCAUUCUGUCUGCGCCUGUCCCUGCUGUCCCAGAGCCUUUCCACAGGAGCAAGGAUGCCAUGGACUUCCAAGUCAGAACUAUCCGGUUCAGUGGGCCUUAACCUGAAGGGGUGCGGGAAUCACCCGGAGGCCUUGUUCAAUUCAGAUUGUGGGGCCCAUCCCCAGCAGUUCUGAGUCAGUAGGGCUGAGUGGGCUCCAAUGACAGAUGUUUCUAACUCUUUCCCAGCUGCUGCUGAUGCUGCUGGUCCAGGUAUGACUCUUGGAGAAGCAUUGCUCUCAUUUACACUCUCAUCCCUCCCAGUCCCUCAGAGUCUGCCCUCACCUUUCUUCCUGUCUGAGAUGGCUGGCUUCCUCUUCUGUGUCUCCCUCAAAUCCAGCUUGGAGACACUUCCUCCAGGAAACUCUCCAAGGAAGAAUCCUUCUUGCCUUCCUCUGCCUGUUUCCAUGCCGUGUCAUAUCUGUACUCAUCUAUCUGCUUUCUGGAUUGUAAGGGCUAGUUCCUCCAGUUCCUAGUAUCUAGUAAAUGUUAAGUGAAACUGUCUGAGACCCCUGGUUUUCCCACUUGGCAUCUGCGAAAGGAAGGCCGUGCUGGGAAUGAGUUCCAGCUUGCUGCUCCCUGGGCUUCCCUCACCAUCAAGACCCCAUCUCCUCUGAGCUCCCGAGCCCCCCUGAACUCCCUAGUUCCAGCAGAUCCAGACGCGCUGUUGUAACAUCUAGCCACCCUGGAAGUUGAAGUUCUUUCUCUCACAAAACAAUAUGCAGUUAGGAGUUGUAAGAGGGCUCUUUGACUAAGAGACUCCAAUAAGCAAAAUCAAGUACCGGAAUGGCCAAGUGUGCAUGGGGAGGCUGGAGAGUCAGGAGAUUGAGUGAUUCCACCCUGCCUCUGCACAAGCUGAGUGGCCGUGGGCCAGCCACUGGCCCCUUCAUGUGUCAAACGAGGGAACUGGACUAGAUGAUUUGUAAGGUCCUUCUCAGCUCUCGAAUUCCAAGAUUAGAGAACUGAGUUCAUGUAGAUGCUAAGCAAAGAUACCCAGACUUCCAGCAUGAGAGUGCCAGCUCUGGAGGAAAAUCUGUUUUUCCUCUAAGCUCUUUCCUAGUUUUCGCUCUGCCUGUGGAGUCAUAGGCAACUCCCUAAAGAUUCCAGGGGAGCUGUGGAUGGAAAUGCAGCUGUGCAAGGAAAACGCGGAACUAAAUUGUAACACAGAGAAAGGUGCAUAGACACCUUACAGGAUAACUACAAGAAUUAAGAGAAAAUGAUAUAAACAGCAAGCACCUAGCACAGAGGCUAGCCCAGCACAUAUGUUCAGCAAGUGUUAGUUCUUCAGUCCACGUCUGCUGCCAGGCUGGCCCUUAAAGGAGGAAAGCAUUGUGUACUCUGAACCCCAGAGUCCUUCUUAUCAGCUCCUGGUCACUCCCGCUGGCCUUGCUUGGUCACUUAUUCACUCAACCUGUGUUUAUUGAGCGUCCACCGAGUGCCAGAUAGGGUGUGAAGGAUCAGCACAGGUAGUUACAACACCAUCCCUAUUCUCGAGGAGCAGGCGCUGUGCUUUAGUUAGGGAUAUGGACAAGUCAGCAACUAUGAUGUGAUGGGACACAUCUACUAGGAAUAAGCUUUGGGUCUAAGAAGGUAAGAGAGAUCAGAGGAGAAUUCCUGGGCAGGUGACAUCCAAAUUGAUUCUGGAAAGGUGAGAGACGAUUGACUAGACUAGGUGGUGGCAGGGUAGAGGAUUCUGGCGAGAGGGAGAAAUGAGUCUGGGCAGGUGAACGGGAUCACGUCACCAAAGGUCUGUGUCCUACAAUACAGAGCUGAGUCUUUAACUUAGGCAUAAUACACUGCCGGAUUUCAAGCAAAAAAAUAACUAAUUAACUUAAUUGAAUAAAUUGACAGUUCUGAUUUUAGCCCCCAUGUUUCUUCCUCAGCAGAAGGUCCAGCCACUUCUUUCUUUUGCCUGUGUCAUUUGCUCUAGGCCAGCAAUCCUCUCUGCCACUGUUGCACUCUGUGUCCAGCCCCAGACCCAUGUGGGUCCACCCAGGUCAAGGACCUAAGGAAUCCCAGAAGCUUCAGGCCCUCUGCUCCAUCAUGGGCCUUCAGGAACCAGGGGGAAGCAGAAAGUAGAAGAAUGUUCCAAUGGGUUAGGAGAGUUUUCCUCAUUUAAUAUUUAGAUUUUAAAUUGAGUAACUUUUCAAGUAUUUACUUGUGAAGAGCUUGUCUUCAGAUUCAAGGGCAGCCAGUAUAAACCUGGAUCUUCAGUGAGCAAUGAAAUCUAAAGAGUCUGACCUCUCCACUCCCUCAGAAGUGGGGUCACCAGAUAAUGUCAUUCCUGGCUGAGAAACCCCUGUGGCUUCCCAUCUCGCUUGGAAGGAAGUCCAAAGUCCUGCACAGGCUGCCCUGCCUCCAAAAUCAGUCUCCUCUGGGUCUUGCCAUCUCCAACCACACCUGCCUAUGGCUGGUGUGUUCUCCGUGGCUGCUGCCUGAGAUGCUGUCCCUUCUUGGCAGUCUCUUUUUUGUUCAAGGUCUCACACCUCUAUUUCACCUACUCAGAGACUGUCUCUGGCCACCUGGUCUAGAGCAGCCUGGAAGAAGGGCCCUGAGAUCGGGGCACAGGUCUGUCCUUGUCCCCUUACCUCGCUUCCUAUGUUUCCCCCCAAGACCCUUCUAUGAGUCACCGCUCAGGUCCCCAACACUCCUUCAUCUCCCUCCACAACUUGGUUGCAUUCCUCUGAAGUCUGCAUGUGCCAAAUGUUCUCCCAAUGUUUGCUUUUCCCUCCUGCCUCUUCCUCAAGAAAAAUAAUCUUUCUCUGUGUCCUGUCUCUCCAGGAUCCAGAGUAAGGGGUAAGAAAUGGGACUCUGGAGACAUAAACACAUGCAGCAAAUCCUGAAGGACUGUGGUGAGCCAGGUACUGUCCUGGGCCCUGGUUUACUCUGGGGUUUGAAUCCUAGCUUUUCAACUUACUCCCGGGGUGUCAUGGUCCUAACCUCUUUGACCCUUAGGCUUAUCAUCUUGAAAAUGGGACUAGUAGGGGGCGCCUGGGUGGCUCAGUCGGUAAGCAUCCGACUUCAGCACAGGUCAUGAUCUCACGGUUCGUGAGUUUGAGCCUCGCAUCGUGCUCUGUGCUGAAAGCUCAGAGCCUGGAGCCUGCUUCAGAUUCUGUGUCUCCCUCUCUCUCUGCUCCUCCCCCACUCACUAUGUCUCUCUCUCAAAAAUAGAUAAACAUUUAAAAAAAAUUUUAAAUGGGGCUAGUAAAGUCUACUGUGAUGGUUAAUUUUAUGUGUGAACUUGGCUGGGCUACAGUGCCCAGAUAUUUGGUCAAAUAUUAUUCUGAAUGUUUCUGUGAGUGUGUUUUGGGAUGAGAUUAACAUUUAAAUUGGUGGACUUGAGUAAAGCAGAUUGACCUCUGUAAUGUGGGUGGGCCUCGUCCAGUCAGUUGAAGGUAGACAAAAAGACUGACCUCCCCUGUGCAAGAAGGAAUUCUGUCAGCAGACAGCCUGCAACAUCAGCUCUUUCCCAGGUCUCCAGGCUGCCGGCCCACCCUGAAGAGUUUGGACUUGCCAGGCUUAAUUACACGAGCAAAUUCCUUAAAAUCAGUCUCUCUAUGUAUAGAUGCAUCCUACUGGUUUUGUUUCUCUGGAGAACCCCAAACACAUACAUCUACCUUGCAGGAUUUUGUCACAUUCAUCAGCCCUAAUAUUUGCUCCCACUUACUGAGUGCUUACCGCGUGCCACCCGCCUUGCUAAGGGUUGACCUUACGUGAUCUCGUGUAAUCCUCACCACAGCCUUACGAGCUGCCAUCAUUAUUAUCCUGUGUACAGCAAGGAAAUGGACAUUCAGAUGGCAAUCCGACAGUCAAUAAAGGCUGGCGUGAGGGGGGCUUGAGAGGGGAGCUCAUAGAGGAGAGAGAGAUGUGCGUGACCAAUUACCUGGACUUUCUACAGCCUCAUUUCAAACCUGUCCACUUAAACAUCUUUUCACUGAUAAGCUCAUACACUGAAACAAGGCGCCCACAUGGCCUGCUUCCAGCCAAGCAGAAGGCGAGAGAGAUGUAGCUCGCAGGGUGCUGUGGCUCACGGAGCGGCUGCCAGAGAAAGGCUGCCCAGCCGUCACCACAGGGUUUACCCUGUCUGCCCUGACUUUGCUGUCGCUUCACUUGGCCUGCUCUGGGAAGCAAGAGCCCCCCACUGAGAGGCUGUAAGUCCUUCUGGAAUGGUUCUCCCGGUUUGCCAUGCUAGAUGUUUCCCCAGAAAAUUCCCUUUAUCCAUGAACAAACUUUUUUUAAAUUUUUUAAUUGGAAAGGGAAGGACAAAUGAAGGGUUUUCAAAAAAAUGAGAAAAGUCUUUCGAGGCAGAUAAAUGUGCACUUUUCUUCCACGCGAAUUAGAAUGGAUUCUACAAAAGCAUGUUCCAUUUCCCAUACUCCUUUUAGCAUUUUGUUAGGAGCUUUGCCUGCCCGUGUUUUCUUUUUUCACGUUCCCAUAGUGCUGUGAAAUAGAUAUUGCUUGACAGAUGAUGGCAUAGUGGCUCAAGGGACACAGGGACUUGCCCACAUUCACAUAGUCACACAGUUACUCCAGCUUUGCUCUGGUGAAGGAGCCUCACCACGAGUGAUCACCUGGCAGCUAUGGGGAGACCUGGUGAUUCUGAUAAUCCUUGGCUUCUGCUGGGAAGAAUGCCUAAGGGGAAUGCCUGAAAAUAGUGGGAUCUGUUUGCUUUCUUUUUUUUUUUUUUUUUUUAAUUUUUUAAGUUUAUUUAUUUUGAGAGAGAAAGCGCAUGAGACGUGUAAGGGCAGAGAGAGGAGGGAGAGAGAGAAUCCCAAGCAGGCUCCACACUGUCAGCACAGAGCCCAACGCGGGGCUCGAACUCACCAACUGUGAGAUCAUGAUGACCUGAGCCAAAAUCACGAGUCAGACGCUCAACUGACUGAGCCACCCAGCACAUGCACUUACUCUAGGUUUCAACGUAUUCUAAAUGCUAGACAUAAGACAUAGUUCUUGUCUGGCCAAACACUGGGUUGACAUUGUGCAGAUGGUAAAACAUCAUAAAUGCCAAAUUCAGCAAAAAUUUCCCUGAUGGAUCUUUCUCUUUGUCCUAAAAGCUGAGAACACUGGUUUUUGCUAAGAAGUGUCCUUAUUACUACAGUGUUCUUUCUGUUUGGCUGACGUUUGUUUUCUUAUUCUUGUUAAUCCUUUCCGAAAUCCAUGCCUUCUCAAACCAGUUAGACCACGAAUUCCUUGAAACCAGAGGUUACACACUUACAAGCAGCUCGAUAAAUAUGCUCUGACUUCCUACAAAUCAUUUAUGACACCCAGUAAUUUCCCUAUAGAAUCAAAAUUGUGUACUUUAGCAAGCCAUCAAUUUUAUUUUUAAGCAGUAAAGUUCAUGCUCUUGCUUCUCCUAUCAUGUUUUUUCUCCUGGAUCUAAAUCACACUGUGAAUCCAUGUGUGUACCCUGAUAAUGUAUGAUAUAACACGCAGUGCAGCUCUUUAAGCCUCCUUUUCCUGCAAACCUAGGGAAAUCAGAAAUGUUUGCCAGGGACACAUUAGCUUUAAGAACUUGUUUCCGAACUGUAUUUGCAUAUUCAUGCCCCCUCGGUCUCUGUGUCUCUCUCUCCUCUCUCCUGGCCUCUCUUGCAUUCCCACAGAUCGCAGUGUGAUUUUUGCCAAAUUCAUACAGUAACUUCUGGGCUGUGAGCAAAGGCUAGGGGACUAUGAGAAAGGUAAUUGCUCGCUGCCUAUUGUUCCUUGGCGUUCCCAGGCCCCAGCCAUGUUCUUGUUUAAACACAAGACUUGUUAAAUAGUUCCUAAAACUAGGUGUUUGGAGAAGGAGAAGGAAAAGUCAUAGGAACUAAACCAGCUGCCAGUCUGGUGACCCUAGUACAGAACCUACACAGGGCCAGGCAUGAAGGAGGGGACAAGGCAGGGGUGCAAUGUAAGUGCAAAUGCCCCUUUAUUCUCUGGGCUGUGGGAACCCAUGCCCGUCCUUCCUCACCUGGGCAGCCCUCCAGCCUUGUUUGACCUUGGAGCUGUACCUGCAGGGCAAAAGAGAAGCCAUGUGAUUUCCCUAAGCAGUUCUUGGUAGUCUGCCAGGAGGCCCGGCGCUCUGCUGGCAUCGCUGGCGAUUCGGACAGGCUCCUCACUCCUUGCUUUCCGGUUAAGGCUGGCCUGGCCCCAGAAGGAGGCCCUGAGAGAAGUUCCUUGGAGGGGACCUCGGGAGGCAGGUGUGGGUGGGGGGCCCUUCUCUUCUUUCCUGAGAUGGCACUGGCGAGGCGUGUAACCACCCCACCACCCCACCAUCCAAUCGCGUUUCUCAAAUCUUGAGCGGGUCACACUCUCAAGAAAGGAUGGCUCCGCCCCCACUUACCCCCCAAGGCUGGCACAACAGACAGAUCACCUGCACGAAUAUCUCUCUCCACCUAGCCUGGCACCUGGUCUAAACUUCACACCACCAUGUUCUUUCCGGCAGGUCCAGAAAACCCUGUGAGGAUGAACAAGUGUCACUUGAGAGCGCACGAUGCAAGCAGUGCACCGAUUGGCCGCUAAGACUGUCCAGUGUGCGGAUGCCUCCCAGAAGAUAGCAGGGCUUUGAGAAGCAGGAAGGAACUCAGCAGGGGUAAGUCUGAAUGCACAGGCGAGUCAGAAAAAUCCGCAGCACCGGCUUCUCAAUAGACAUGGGUGCCAGUAAAAUAGGGGAGGAAAAGGUUGUGAGGCAGGACCAAGCUGGCCCUUAGCCCAGAGGAGUAGCAGGGCCUGAGGGCUCUGGCUGAAGAAGGGUCCAUGCCCCAUUUGCAGGGGAAGUCAUUGACCACUCCCAGCCCUUGCUGCGGGCCUGAGAAUGGGGGCCCCACUGGCCAGGUUUCGGUGUUUUUGUUUUUUAGGAGAAGGGAGAAACCACAACCAGCUUGUUUUUACAUAUUGGCAACUAAUUUAGUAUUUAGAAACACUGCAUAGUCCCGCCCAGUAUACACUAAUUAAAACAUUUGUGUGCCUCAUUUGGCUUCUAGGAAACAGUGAAGGAGGAGACCACCCAGCGUUAUACUGCCUCUAGGGGCAGCCGAGACCCUGUUCCUUCCAGCUCUAAUGCAGAACAUAAAAUGAUGUAACAGGCAGGAGGCCCUUAACAAUCGAUCAGACCCAUUUAAGCCAAGAGCCAAGUGUAAUUCUGUCCACCUCUUUACCUCAGAUCCAUAUCUUGACCCUGGGAAAAAAAUAGUUCAAUCCGUUCUUUUUCUUUUUCUUCCUCUUCCAAGCUAAAAAAAAAAAAAGCAAAAAGCUAACACGUAAAGCUUCACCAGGAUUAUCUCUUUGGCGAGGUGGCACUUACUUCUACAGGAGACCUUUGUCUCCUAGUCAUUAGUCAGCAGUGUUCAGGUGAAUCCCCAAGCCAGCAACAUUUAGAACUUGGACAAAAAGCCGUGAAGCCCUGAAUGACCUUGGGCAAGGUUCUUGGUCUAUCUAUUUCCCUUCUUUUGCUCACUAAGAGAACCUGUUGUUAUGGGGGAAAACACAAAACCAAGAAUAACUAAUCAUCUUCCAGACACGUGUGCCUCAGUUUGUUCCUCCAUAAAACUAGUGGAACAGGUCCAAGGCCUUCGGAGGCCAAGGGUCUCUAAUAGCCCUCUACCUAGAACACUUCCCCCUGUGAACUCAGGAAUGCCCUCCAGCAAGAGUGUGAAAUGCAUGACGUUUCAAUUCUUUGAGCUUCUUCCCACUCCCCCUACCUCUGGUUACCGGAUGCCCUGGCUGAAGUCUGGAUACCCCAGGGACACUUAAAUGAAUAAAAAGCCUGGUUGUUUUACUAAGUGAUGUAGCAAGAUCUACAAAUACAAACACCAAAAGAUGGAGACUACAAUGUGCAUAUGAAUAUCCCUUGGACCCAAAAGCACACGAAGAACUUGUGCUCCCUGUUUUAAAGGUUCAGAAUGUCCUCAUCACUCAUUUUAGAAAUCACAUUCGGGACUUUCAUGCUGAAUGCCAUUAAGUGGGUAGUGUUUGGAACUAUCUGCUCAUCCUAACUUGGAAGCAAGUUUAUUUACUCAGCAUAAAAGGAAGUAUUUGAACUCACAGAGUGUGAUUCUCUGCAACUUUUAAAAGUAGCAAGACUGGACAGGCAACUUUUAGGACAGUAAGACAUAUUUCUCUGUUCUGAAUACCACCUUGCUACCUUAACUAGGCAAUUGUAGCUGGGUAGACGCUCAAGGUGAAAAAGGACAUGAGUUUUAGUAAAUACAGGUAAUAUACUUAGAUGAUACUAAUGGGCUCUGUUUUCUAGGAUUCCAUUCUAUUGCCUUCUUCAUUCAGUUAGUUUUGAACCAUUCUCUUGUGAAACUAAACGUUUGAACCAUUCUUUUGUGAAACUAAACGUGUGAACAACGUUUUUGAGACUAUCACAUUAUCACCUAGGUGAAUAGGAUGACCUUCCCAUCCCACCAUUAAUACUUGCCGAAGACCUUAGUAGGACCCAGCUGGCCUUUUCAAAUGACAGAUUUGCGUAAAAAUUAGGCUAGGAGGGGUGCCUGGGUGGCGCAGUCGGUUAAGCGUCCGACUUCAGCCAGGUCACGAUCUCGCGGUCCGUGAGUUCGAGCCCCGCGUCAGGCUCUGGGCUGAUGGCUCAGAGCCUGGAGCCUGCUUCUGAUUCUGUGUCUCCCUCUCUCUCUGCCCCUCCCCCGUUCAUGCUCUGUCUCUCUCUGUCCCAAAAAUAAAUAAACGUUGAAAAAAAAAAAAAUUAGGCUAGGAGCAAAAUGGACCUGAAGCUGCCUUAGUGCAUGGCAUAUGGUUAUAUUCCCUUCUCCCCUCCUCCACGUAUAGCUCAGUAUCCCUCAUAAAGGAGACAUCAGAAAAAUUAUGGAAUAUGCAGAAGAAAUGAACCUGAGAAAAGGCCAGCAACUGCUGAAGUAGAUGGUGUGUGAGAAUGAGAAGGGAACAGGAGGCAGGCUGAGCCCCAGCUGUCCCAGCUUUGGGCAGAGGGCACCUCACCAGGAUUCAGUGGUGCUGGAGAUCCUCUCUCAGAUACUUUCUCCAGGGCACAGUUUCACCCUGGUCCCAGCUCAGCUCUCCCGCCUCUGUGCUAAGAAGCCAACCUAUUCUCCUCAGGCCCCUCCUGGCUUCUUUCUCUCCCCCACGUGAUCAUUUUGCUCACCUUCUCUGGAUUCUCGCCUAACGCUUACAGCCUUGCUUAAUCAUUUGGUAGCUGCCAGUAAGGAAGGACACAGCACAGGGAAUUUCAUUGAAGCUGUGUUCUUCUAAGCCAUUGAAUGGAAACACGCAUCACACUCUGCCCCAGACAGUGUUUUGUUGAUGCUGCACUUGGUUCAAAGCCUCCCAUGACUUCCUAGGAUGUUUCUUUUUCUAUUCUUAGGCAUAACUCGCCAUUCUUCUACCUUUAUGCAGCUUGUGUUUCCCCUGGCCCUUCUCUUUUGCCCUGGCCUCUAGACCAGGAGUGGAGUGAUUAGAAUGUGCUCGUGUAACUUUUACCCCUCAUUGUGGUUCCUAGAGCUGGAGCCUCUCUAGUACGACUCCCUGCUUCUGCAGGGUUUUUCUCUUGCUGGAGUCCUCCUCGCCCUGUGGUCUUAUCCACAAUGGGCAGCUCCUGGGAAAGACACGUCCAUCAUCUCAUCUGCUUUGUUUUUCUUCCUCUUUCUGGAAGUUGAACAGCGUGGCUGGCUGGAACGGACAACCUUGCACUGAAAGCACCUAAGUGAAGGGGUGCCUGGGUGGCUCAGUCAGUUGAGCGUCUGACUUCGGCUCGCGUCAUGAUCUCACGGCUCGUGAGUUCAAGCCCCGUGUCAGGCUCUGUGCUGACAGUUUGGAGCCUGGAGCCUGCUUUGGAUUCUGUGUCACCCUCUCUCUCUGGCCCUAACCUACUUGCAUUACAUCUCUCUCGAAAGUAAAUAAACAUUAAAAAAAAAAAACAGCACGUAAGGGACUCCAAGGUGUUUUUCCUUCUCAGAAAUGUCAUAGUUACCCCUCUUUCUGGAUUUCAUUCUAUUGUUACAUGUAAU
rnacentral:lncRNA from 1 species